rnacentral:rRNA from 1 species
GACGUAGGGCGCGAGCGUUGUCCGGAUUUAUUGGGCGUAAAGAGCGUGUAGGCGGCCAGGGAGGUCCGUUGUGAAAACUCGAGGCUCAACCUCGAGACGUCGGUGGAAACCGUUUGGCUAGAGUCCGGAAGAGGAGAGUGGAAUUCCCGGUGUAGCGGUGAAAUGCGCAGAUAUCGGGAAGAACACCCGUGGCGAAGGCGGCUCUCUGGGACGGUACUGACGCUGAGACGCGAAAGCGUGGGGAGCGAACAGG